rnacentral:tRNA from 1 species
UUUUUAUGACUGAGGCAAAAUAAGUAGUAGAUUUUUAAUCUACCCACGAGCUGUAGCUCUAAAAU